rnacentral:rRNA from 1 species
UGGUGGGUAGUUUGACUGGGGCGGUCUCCUCCUAAAGAGUAACGGAGGAGCACGAAGGUUGGCUAAUCCUGGUCGGACAUCAGGAGGUUAGUGCAAUGGCAUAAGCCAGCUUGACUGCGAGCGUGACGGCGCGAGCAGGUGCGAAAGCAGGUCAUAGUGAUCCGGUGGUUCUGAAUGGAAGGGCCAUCGCUCAACGGAUAAAAGGUACUCCGGGGAUAACAGGCUGAUACCGCCCAAGAGUUCAUAUCGACGGCGGUGUUUGGCACCUCGAUGUCGGCUCAUCACAUCCUGGGGCUGAAGUAGGUCCCAAGGGUAUGGCUGUUCGCCAUUUAAAGUGGUACGCGAGCUGGGUUUAGAACGUCGUGAGACAGUUCGGUCCCUAUCUGCCGUGGGCGCUGGAGAACUGAGGGGGGCUGCUCCUAGUACGAGAGGACCGGAGUGGACGCAUCACUGGUGUUCGGGUUGUCAUGCCAAUGGCACUGCCCGGUAGCUAAAUGCGGAAGAGAUAAGUGCUGAAAGCAUCUAAGCACGAAACUUGCCCCGAGAUGAGUUCUCCCUGAGACUUAGAGUCUCCUGAAGGAACGUUGAAGACGACGACGUUGAUAGGCCGGGUGUGUAAGC